GUUAUAGGAUCAAGCGACUAAGUGCAUGUGGUGGAUGCCUUGGCGAUCACAGGCGAUGAAGGACGUGUAAGCCUGCGAAAAGCUGCGGGGAGCUGGCAAUAGAGCUUUGAUCCGCAGAUGUCCGAAUGGGGAAACCCGGCCCUUUUGGGUCAUCCCGUACUGAAUACAUAGGUACGUGGAAGCGAACGCGGCGAACUGAAACAUCUAAGUAGCCGUAGGAAAAGAAAUCAACCGAGAUUCCCGAAGUAGCGGCGAGCGAACCGGGAACAGCCUGUACGACUAAACCAGUAACUCAGCAAAACGGGAUGGAAAGCCCGGCCAUAGAAGGUGAUAGCCCUGUAUGCGAAGGGUCGCUGGCGGGUCUGAGCGUACGACAAGUAGGGCGGGACACGUGUAAUCCUGUCUGAAUAUGGGGGGACCAUCCUCCAAGGCUAAAUACUCGUGAUCGACCGAUAGUGAACCAGUACCGUGAGGGAAAGGCGAAAAGAACCCCGGGAGGGGAGUGAAAUAGAUCCUGAAACCGCAUGCAUACAAACAGUGGGAGCCCCUUCGUGGGGUGACUGCGUACCUUUUGUAUAAUGGGUCAGCGACUUACGUUCAGUUGCAAGCUUAACCGAAUAGGGGAGGCGUAGCGAAAGCGAGUCUGAUAAGGGCGAAUGAGUAGCUGGAUGUAGACCCGAAACCAGAUGAUCUAUCCAUGGCCAGGAUGAAGGUGCGGUAACACGCACUGGAGGUCCGAACCCACUAAUGUUGAAAAAUUAGGGGAUGAGCUGUGGAUAGGGGUGAAAGGCCAAACAAAUCUGGAAAUAGCUGGUUCUCCCCGAAAACUAUUUAGGUAGUGCGUCGUGCGGACACUUCCGGGGGUAGAGCACUGUCAUCGUUGGGGGGGUCACUGCGAUUUACCCCGCGAUAGCAAACUCCGAAUACCGGAAAGUGAUACACGGCAGACAGACAGCGGGUGCUAACGUCCGUUGUCAAGAGGGAAACAACCCAGACCGCCAGCUAAGGUCCCAAAUGAUCAGUUAAGUGGUAAACGAGGUGGGAAGGCACAGACAGCUAGGAGGUUGGCUUAGAAGCAGCCACCCUUUAAAGAAAGCGUAAUAGCUCACUAGUCGAGUCGUCCUGCGCGGAAGAUGUAACGGGGCUCAAACUGAUAACCGAAGCUGCGGAUGCGUGCUUGCACGCAUGGUAGGGGAGCGUUCUGUAAGCCUGCGAAGGUGUCUCGUAAGGGAUGCUGGAGGUAUCAGAAGUGCGAAUGCUGACAUGAGUAGCGAUAAAGGGUGUGAAAAGCACCCUCGCCGAAAACCCAAGGUUUCCUGCGCAACGUUCAUCGGCGCAGGGUGAGUCGGCCCCUAAGGCGAGGCAGAAAUGCGUAGUCGAUGGGAAACAGGUCAAUAUUCCUGUACCGAUUUUAGAUGCGAUGGGGGGACGGAGAAGGUUAGGCCAGCCGGGUGUUGGAUGUCCCGGUUCAAGCGUGUAGUCGUGCCUGGUAGGCAAAUCCGCCGGGCUUAGAUGAGACGUGAUAACGAGGAUUCAUUGAAUCCGAAGUGGUCGAUACCAUGCUUCCAGGAAAAGCCUCUAAGCUUCAGUCUAAAAUCGACCGUACCGCAAACCGACACAGGUGGGUAGGUUGAAAAUACCAAGGCGCUUGAGAGAACUCAGGAGAAGGAACUCGGCAAAUUGACACCGUAACUUCGGGAGAAGGUGUGCCCCUUGUAUGUGAAACCCCUGCGGGUGGAGCAGAAGGGGGCCGCAGAGAAUCGGUGGCUGCGACUGUUUAUUAAAAACACAGCACUCUGCAAACACGAAAGUGGACGUAUAGGGUGUGACGCCUGCCCGGUGCCGGAAGGUUAAGUGAUGGGGUGCAAGCUCUUGAUCGAAGCCCCGGUAAACGGCGGCCGUAACUAUAACGGUCCUAAGGUAGCGAAAUUCCUUGUCGGGUAAGUUCCGACCUGCACGAAUGGCGUAACGAUGGCCACACUGUCUCCUCCUGAGACUCAGCGAAGUUGAAAUGGUUGUGAAGAUGCAAUCUCCCCGCGGCUAGACGGAAAGACCCCAUGAACCUUUACUGCAGCUUUGCAUUGGACUUUGACGUCACUUGUGUAGGAUAGGUGGGAGGCUUUGAAGCGGGAACGCCAGUUUCCGUGGAGCCAACCUUGAAAUACCACCCUGGUGUCGUUGAGGUUCUAACCUUGGUCCGUGAAUCCGGAUCGGGGACCGUGCAUGGUGGGCAGUUUGACUGGGGCGGUCUCCUCCUAAAGGGUAACGGAGGAGUACGAAGGUCUCCUAGGUACGGUCGGACAUCGUACUGAUAGUGCAAUGGCAAAAGGAGGCUUGACUGCGAGACCCACAAGUCGAGCAGGUGCGAAAGCAGGUCAUAGUGAUCCGGUGGUUCUGUAUGGAAGGGCCAUCGCUCAACGGAUAAAAGGUACUCUGGGGAUAACAGGCUGAUUCCGCCCAAGAGUUCACAUCGACGGCGGAGUUUGGCACCUCGAUGUCGGCUCAUCACAUCCUGGGGCUGUAGCCGGUCCCAAGGGUAUGGCUGUUCGCCAUUUAAAGUGGUACGUGAGCUGGGUUUAAAACGUCGUGAGACAGUUUGGUCCCUAUCUGCCGUGGGCGCUGGAAGUUUGAGAGGGCCUGCUCCUAGUACGAGAGGACCGGAGUGGACGCACCUCUGGUGUACCGGUUGUCACGCCAGUGGCAUCGCCGGGUAGCUAAGUGCGGAAGAGAUAACCGCUGAAAGCAUCUAAGCGGGAAACUCGCCUCAAGAUGAGACUUCCCUCGUGACUCGAUCACGCUCAAGGGUCGUCCAAGACCAGGACGUUGAUAGGUCGGGUGUGGAAGCGCAGUAAUGCGUUAAGCUAACCGAUACUAAUUGCCCGUGAGGCUUGAUCCUAUAACCUU
rnacentral:rRNA from 1 species